rnacentral:lncRNA from 1 species
GAUCAAUUGAGAUAUUCUCAAAUCAUUGGUUCACUAAUGUACCUAGCUAGUGCAACGAGGCCUGACAUCUCAUUUGCUAUGUAACAUCCGCAGAAAUCACCAACUAAAAUCACCCGUUAAAAUUGCCUUUAAAAUCUUUUUACCGCUGAGCUCCCGGAAAUCGGACAAUCUCCCCGGUGAUUUCGCCGUCCCGGCACCAAUGCCGACCCCCA